GAUCGCCUCGCUGAGCCUGGCGAUCCGCCUCCGGUGCCUUCUUUUCUUUUUCUCUCAUCAAAUUCUGAAUACUCAUAUCAAGCCCUAAAGUUGAAGCGAGCCCUAAUUCUUUGUCUCCAAAGGAAAUCAUGUCACUUGCAAUGGUCCGCCUUGCUAGGCCCUGUCUCGGCGUCCCUCCGACGUCGGCGCAACGAAGGUGUGGGGUGGCACACGCACAUAUUUUGUCUUAAAUCACCUUUGCAAUAUCGUAUCCCAAAUCUGCAAAGGUGACACACGAAUACCGCCGCUGCCGCCUUCGACCGUGCCGCGAUUCGCCGCGCCGGCCACCGUCGCCAUCUGCCACCUUCAUUCCCUCUCCCACCCUUCACGCGGAUCUGCCCUCCCACCACUGCAAUCUGCUUAGCCGGACCACCCAGCCUCCACCUGCGACCUCCCUUCCCCACCGCGAUUUGCCGCGCUGGUUUCCCCCGCGAUCUGCCGUGAUUCUUCAUACACAGCGAUGAAUCACAAUUAUGUUGUUGAUCCGGAAUCACUUCCUAAAAGAGUACGAGGUUACUCAUGUCAAUCUGAAUGGUGGAAGCUGUGCUGGGCUUGCGUUUCCUCAGCAGAAGCUCAUGUCACUACAGUAUCAUCCUGAAGCUUCCCCCGGACCCCAUGAUUCUGAUCCUGGAUGUCGAUGUCGAGAAGCAGUGCCCCUACCUCUCAAACCUCGGCGGGUAUCCGACGAGUAGUGGGUGACGGAUAUCCGACGGAUAGCGAGUGGUGGAUACCCGAUGGGUGAUGGGUAUCCGCGGGUCGCGAGUACGGGUGGCAAAUAAUUUUUUCGAAUAUACGUUUUCCUAAGUCAUGUGACUCAUGUUAGGGAUGAAAGUCCUCUUUAAUUUAUUUUUCAUUUUAGUUUGAUAUGUAAUG